rnacentral:rRNA from 1 species
AGCGAACGUUAGCGGCGGGCCUAACACAUGCAAGUCGAGCGAGAAAGUGGCUUCGGCCAUCAGUAAAGCGGCGGACGGGUGAGUAACACGUAGGUAAUCUUCCCUUGAGCGGGGGACAACGAGCCGAAAGGCUCGCUAAUACCGCAUAAGUUUCCAGAGACUCUGGUCUUUGGAAGGAAAGCUAGGCCGCAAGGUCCGGCACUCGAGGAGGAGCCUGCGUCGCAUCAGCAGUUGGUGGGGUAAGUGGCCUACCAAGGCGAAGACGCGUAGCUGGCCUGAGAGGAUGAUCAGCCACACUGGGACUGAGACACGGCCCAGACUCCUACGGGAGGCAGCAGUGGGGAAUAUUGGACAAUGGGCGCAAGCCUGAUCCAGCCACGCCGCGUGAGUGAUGAAGGCCUUCGGUCGU